rnacentral:ncRNA from 1 species
CCAUCUAGUAGCUGAUUCCAUCCGAAGUUUCCCUCAGGAUAGCUGGCGCCGAUGUGUCCCGCCCGUUCGCGGGGCGUACGGACGCCGGUGGGACUCCGCGCUGUACGGCGCGGUAACAACACGCUCGUAACACGGAGGAUGUCUCAUACGGUAAAGCGAAUGAUUAGAGGACAUUGGGGCCGAAACGACCUCAACUAUUCUCAAACUAUAAAUGAGUGAGAUCGCCGGCUUUACCUGGUACACCGCGUGAACCGCGUGCGAAGCCGGCGACGGAACCCUAGGCGCUUAGUGGGCCAUUUUUGGUAAGCAGAACUGGCGCUGCGGGAUGAACCGAACGCCGAGUUAAGGCGCCGAAAUCGACGCGUAUUCAGAGACCAUGAAAGGCGUUGGUUGCUGAUGACAGCAGGACGGUGGCCAUGGAAGUCGGAAUCCGCUAAGGAGUGUGUAACAACUCACCUGCCGAAGCAACUAGCUCUGAAAAUGGAUGGCGCUGGAGCGUCGUGCCUAUACUCGGCCGUCGACGGCAUAGUGGGGCCAGUCGUCGCUCGCGGCGGCCGGUCCCGGCAAGCCUCGACGAGUAGGAUGGCGCGGCGGUGUGCGUCGAAGGGCAGGUCGCGAGACCGCCUGGAGCCGCCGUCGGUGCAGAUCUUGGUGGUAGUAGCAAAUACUCGAGAGGGGCCCUCGGGGGCUGCCGUGGAGAAGGGUUUCUUGUGAACAGCCGUUGUCCAAGAGUCAGUCGAUCCUAAGCCCGGGGAGAGAUCCUCGUACCACGGGCGAAGGCGUUUUCGAAUCGCCCUUGGGGCGAGAGGGAAUCCGGUUCGUAUUCCGGAACCCGACGCGGAACCGCUCCCUAGUGUUCGGGGCUCUUUUGUCUCGUCUGGGUAACCAGAAUGAACUCGAAGAAGCCGCCGGGGGAUCUGGGUAGAGUUCUCUUUUCUCUGUGAGCGUUGUACGUCCCUGGAAUCCUCUAGCCGGGCGAUAGGGACGCGAGCGCGAAGAGCACCGCUCGUUGCGGCGGUGUCCGUGAUCCCCACGCGGACCUUGAAAAUUCGAGAGAGGGCCACGCGGAGUCUUCGCGUCGGUUCGUACCGAUAUCCGCAUGCAGGUCUCCGAGGUGAGCAGCCUCUAGCCGCAUAGAAUAA